UGAUAUUGUUAAAGGUCAAUGAGAAUGGUUUGUAUCCCUGACCAUGUAUAUCAGUGACUGAUAUUGUUAAAGAAGGUCAAUGAGAAUGGUUUGUAUCCCUGACCAUGUAUAUCAGUGACUGAUAUUGUUAAAGAAGGUCAGUGAGAAUGGUUUGUAUCCCUGACCAUGUAUAUCAGUGACUGAUAUUGUUAAAGAAGGUCAGUGAGAAUGGUUUGUAUCCCUGACCAUGUGUAUCAGUGACUGAUAUU